rnacentral:rRNA from 1 species
UACGUAGGAGGCAAGCGUUAUCCGGAAUGACUGGGCGUAAAGGGUGCGCAGGCGGAAGAUCAAGUCAGCGGUAAAAUUGAGAGGCUCAACCUCUUCGAGCCGUUGAAACUGGUUUUCUUGAGUGAGCGAGAAGUAUGCGGAAUGCGUGGUGUAGCGGUGAAAUGCAUAGAUAUCACGCAGAACUCCGAUUGCGAAGGCAGCAUACCGGCGCUCAACUGACGCUCAUGCACGAAAGUGUGGGUAUCGAACAGG